AGAGUUUGAUCCUGGCUCAGAUUGAACGCUGGCGGCAUGCCUUACACAUGCAAGUCGAACGGCAGCACGGGUGCUUGCACCUGGUGGCGAGUGGCGAACGGGUGAGUAAUAUAUCGGAACGUACCUUAUNCGUGGGGGAUAACGCAGCGAAAGCUGCGCUAAUACCGCAUACGCCCUGAGGGGGAAAGCGGGGGACCGUAAGGCCUCGCGCGAUUAGAGCGGCCGAUAUCUGAUUAGCUUGUUGGUGGGGUAAAAGCCCACCAAGGCGACGAUCAGUAGCUGGUCUGAGAGGACGAUCAGCCACACUGGGACUGAGACACGGCCCAGACUCCUACGGGAGGCAGCAGUGGGGAAUUUUGGACAAUGGGGGCAACCCUGAUCCAGCAAUGCCGCGUGAGUGAAGAAGGCCUUCGGGUUGUAAAGCUCUUUUGUCAGGGAAGAAACAGCAGCUCUAACACAGUCUGCGAAUGACGGUACCUGAAGAAUAAGCACCGGCUAACUACGUGCCAGCAGCCGCGGUAAUACGUAGGGUGCAAGCGUUAAUCGGAAUUACUGGGCGUAAAGCGUGCG
rnacentral:rRNA from 1 species